ensembl:lncRNA GBA1LP glucosylceramidase beta 1 like, pseudogene
CUUUUGCCUUCGGUUGGGGCUGCUGUUUCUCUUCGCCGACGGUGACAGGGCUUUCCCUAUGUUGCCCAGGUUCGUCUCAAACUCCUGGGCUCAAAAGAUCCUCAUCUUCUCAAGUGGUUGAAUAUACACGCUCCAGCGACCAUGCCUGGCUGAAUGAAGAGCUUUGAGAUUUUGAAGAAACAGGAACCAUGAAAUUUGCUUUGCAACUGUUUGCAACCUUUAAGGAAGACUGAAAAGGCAUUCCUGAAGCAUACUCUGGAACCCCUGUGCUCUUCUCCUCAUCUAGUGACCCUGAGGUGAUGGAGUUUUCAAGUCCUUCCAGAGAGGAAUGUCCCAAGCCUUCGGGUAGGGUAAGCAUCAUGGCUGGCAGCCUCACAGGAUUGCUUCUACUUCAGGCAGUGUCGUGGGCAUCAGAUGAGUGCCUUCAGCCGCUACAAGAGCAGAAGCAGUGGGCAUUGGAUGGAGCUGAGUACAGGACCAUACAGGCUAAUUGCACCGGCACAGGAAUCGGAUAUAACAUCAUCUGGGUACCCAUGGCCAGCUGUGACUUCUCCAUCCGCACCUACACCUAUGCAGACACCCCUGAUGAUUUCCAGUUGCACAACUUCAGCCUCCCAGAGGAAGAUACCAAGCUCAAGAUACCCCUGAUUCACCGAGCCCUGCAGUUGGCCCAGCGUCCCGUUUCACUCCUUGCCAGCCCCUGGACAUCACCCACUCGGCUCAAGACCAGGGGAGCGGGGAAUGGGAAGGGGCCACUCAAGGGACAGCCCAGAGACAUCUACCACCAGACCUGGGCCAGAUACAUUGUGAAGUUCCUGGAUGCCUAUGCUGAGCACAAGUUACAGUUCUGGGCAGUGACAGCUGAAAAUGAGCCUUCUGCUGGGCUGUUGAGUGGAUACCCCUUCCAGUGCCUGGGCUUCACCCCUGAACAUCAGCGAGACUUCAUUGCCCGUGACCUAGGUCCUACCCUUGCCAACGGUACUCACCACAAUGUCCGCCUACUCAUGCUGGAUGACCAACGCUUGCUGCUGCCCCACUGGGCAAAGGUGGUACUGACAGACCCAGAAGCAGCUAAGUAUGUUCAUGGUAUUGCUGUACAUUGGUACCUGGACUUUCUGGCUCCAGCCAAAGCCACCCUAAGGGAGACACACCACCUGUUCCCCAACACCAUGCUCUUUGCCUCAGAGGCCUGUGUGGGUUCCAAGUUCUGGGAGCAGAGUGUGCGGCUAGGCUCCUGGGAUCGAGGGAUGCAGUACAGCCACAGCAUCAUCACAAACCUCCUGUACCAUGUGGUCGGCUGGACCGACUGGAACCCAUCAUUGUAGACAUCACCAAGCACACGUUUUACAAACAGCCCAUGUUCUACCACCUUGGCCACUUCAGCAAGUUCAUUCCUGAGGGCUCCCAGAGAGUGGGGCUGGUUGCCAGUCAGAAGAACGACCCGGACGCAGUGGCACUGAUGCAUCCCGAUGGCUCUGCUGUUGUGGUCGUGCUAAACCGCUCCUCUAAGGAUGUGCCUCUUACCAUCAAGGAUCCUGCUGUGGGCUUCCUGGAGACAAUCUCACCUGGCUACUCCAUUCACACCUACCUGUGGCGUCGCCAGUGAUGGAGCAGAUACUCAAGGAGGCACUGGGCUCAGCCUGGGCAUUAAAGGGACAGAGUCAGCUCA